AGGUCUAACACUGGAUGGCUGUGAUUUCUUUUUCUACAAUAUUUAUAUUAUUAUUGCAAAACUUAUUCCUGUAUUUUCUUUUGAAAUUGCAAUUGCUGCUUGUAGAACCACUUUUACUAUUUCAAUUAUUGAUCUCUAAAUUAUUGCUGCUGUUUUUGCAUCAUUUUUGUCAUACUCUUCACAAUCUGAAGUGCUACAGGCUAUUGUGGUUGCUAAGUUUGAGCAUUUUCAGUGACCAUCCUGUCACCCAUUUGCUAGUCAUCAUUAUCAACUUGCUAGUUUGAAGAUUCAUCAAUUUGAGAGUGAUCCACAAUGUUGGUAAUCUUCCUAACAUAGUAAGAUGCCAUUUCCUAUAUAUAUUGGGAUAAUAAUAAAGUUCAAUUACAAGAUCAUGAAUG
rnacentral:lncRNA from 1 species